CAUUGAAAACAUUACCUUAAAUGAAAAACAAUACCUCAGAACAAGGUCCAAAGAAAGAAACAUUAUCAGAGAGGCUCCUUUUAGAUCUGCGCGCUUAUGUCAAGAGCCAAGGAGGCCUCCUUGAUUCAGGCUGGUGGUAGAGUGGUAGAAAUUCACUUUCUUCCACUAUUCAGGCACAGUGGCAAGAGCUGGAGACCCAAAGACAAAAACAAAGCAGUCCCUGACAAUAAGGAGUACACAUUUCUAUCAGGGGAACCAAGCUGUAUCUAUUAGGAAAGAAGUUUCUUUAUGGACUAACUGUUGAAUUUGAUAGGAGAUGGCAAGAGAGAGGCUCUCAAGAUCCUAAACAUUUCUGAAAUAUGAAUGAACAUUUAUUAGGCUCCUGUAGCAGAUGCUGGACAUGUGGAGCAAACAGGAAUUAGAGUAAAGCCAGGCAGGUAUCACUGGGAUGGGAACUCCUUGGGCGGAGGUAUUACUUUGUUCACUGUAUUUGUAUCCCUAGUCUGCCUCUCACCUAGUGCCAGCAUCAAUGAAUCAUUCAAGAAUUAAUAAAUUCUUGUCAAUUGACUGAG